rnacentral:tRNA from 3 species
GCCGAGGUGGCGAAAUUGGCAAACGCACAGGUUUCAAAAACCUGCGAGAGUAAUCUCUUGAGGGUUCAAGUCCCUCCCUCGGCACUA